GAUGAAGAACUUAGCGAAAUGCGAUAAGUAGUGUGAAUUGCAGAAUUCAGUGAAUCAUCGAAUCUUUGAACGCACAUUGCGCCCCUUGGUAUUCCAUGGGGCAUGCCUGUUCGAGCGUCAUUUGUACCCUCAAGCUAAGCUUGGUGUUGGGUGUUUGUCCACUCCCUCGUGUUUGGACUCGCCUUAAAACAAUUGGCAGCCAGUGUUUUGGUAUUGAAGCGCAGCACAAUUUGCGAUUCUAGCCUAGAAUACUAGCAUCCAUCAAGUCAUUUUUAACGCUUGACCUCGGAUCAGGUAGGGAUACCCGCUGAACUUAAGCAUAUCAAUAAGCGGAGGA
rnacentral:misc_RNA from 1 species